rnacentral:rRNA from 1 species
CCUACGGGUGGCAGCAGUGGGGAAUAUUGGUCAAUGGGCGCAAGCCUGACCCAGCAACGCCGCGUGAAGGAAGAAGGCUUUCGGGUUGUAAACUUCUUUUUUCAGGGAAGAGUAGAAGACGGUACCUGACGAAUAAGCCACGGCUAACUACGUGCCAGCAGCCGCGGUAAUACGUAGGUGGCAAGCGUUGUCCGGAUUUACUGGGUGUAAAGGGCGUGUAGCCGGGUUGACAAGUCAGAUGUGAAAUCCUGCGGCUGAACCGCAGAACUGCAUUUGAAACUGUUGAUCUUGAGUACUGGAGAGGCAGACGGAAUUCGUAGUGUAGCGGUGAAAUGCGUAGAUAUUAGGAGGACCACCAGUGGCGAAGGCGGUCUGCUGGACAGCAACUGACGGUGAGGCGCGAAAGCGUGGGGAGCAAACAGGAUUAGAUACCCCAGUAGUC